GGGGAAUAUUGCACAAUGGGCGAAAGCCUGAUCCAGCCAUGCCGCGUGUGUGAAGAAGGUCUUCGGAUUGUAAAGCACUUUAAGUUGGGAGGAAGGGCUGCUGGUUAAUACCCUGCAGUUUUGACGUUACCAACAGAAUAAGCACCGGCUAACUUCGUGCCAGCAGCCGCGGUAAUACGAAGGGUGCAAGCGUUAAUCGGAAUUACUGGGCGUAAAGCGCGCGUAGGUGGUUGGGUAAGUUGAAUGUGAAAGCCCCGGGCUCAACCUGGGAACUGCAUCCAAAACUGCCCGACUAGAGUACGGUAGAGGGUGGUGGAAUUUCCUGUGUAGCGGUGAAAUGCGUAGAUAUAGGAAGGAACACCAGUGGCGAAGGCGACCACCUGGACUGAUACUGACGCUGAGGCAUGAAAGCGUGGGGAGCAAAC
rnacentral:rRNA from 1 species